UGGCCUUCGUUACUGGGUGAGGGUUCUGCUGGCUGACAUUUGGCACACGCCAUUCAAGAUGCCUGGAACACAUCACUGAUCCCACCCCACGUCUGUGCUUUCCUUUGUUCUCCUCUGUUCCUGGUUGUGCCCUUCACUUCAGCUUCUCCCCUGCACUGUGCAGUUUCACACCAGGACCAUGCCUACAGAUCCAUUCACGGAGCUCUUGGAAGGGAGGAAGAUCUCUUGGAAGAAACUCCUCACCUUCCUCCUCUUCAGCUUCAUCUUCAGCUUCUGCCUCUUCGCUUCUCUUCGCCAGUUCAGGACUCCCGAGCCAGAGGAUUACAAUUCCUAUCUUUCCACAGAAAGAUUCCAAACUGGAAAUACCAGCACGCUGCCGAAGGGUGAGCGCAGGCUGACCAUCCUGCUGUGGACGUGGCCCUUCGGACAUCGCUUUACUUUUAGCAACUGCUCGGAGCUCUUUGACACCCCGAACUGCCACUUCACCACCGACCGCAGCUGGUCCCAAAAGGCAGAUGCUGUGAUUAUGCAUCACAGGGAUGUGUAUAGGGAUGGGGAGAGGCUGGCCCAGCUCCCCAGGCUCCCAUCCCAGCGCUGGAUCUGGUUCAACAUGGAGUCCCCAAGUCACUCUCCAAACUUAGGUGCCAUGAACCACCUCUUCAACCUGACUAUGUCGUACCGGAGAGACUCGGACAUCUUCACCCCCUAUGGGGAGCUGCAGCUGCUCAGCCAGCCCCAGCCCUUCAGCAUCCCACCCAAGACCAAGAUGGUGGCCUGGGUGGUCAGCAACUGGAGACCAAGCUCCCACCGGGUGAAGUACUACAAGGAGCUGAAGAAACACAUCCCCGUGGAUGUGUACGGACGGCAUCACUUGCCCCUGCCCAUGGACUUGCUCCUGCAAACUCUGUCCCAGUACAACUUCUACUUGGCCUUUGAGAAUUCACAGCAUGAGGACUACAUCACUGAGAAGCUCUGGAAGAACGCCCUGUCCUCUGGCACCAUCCCUGUUGUUCUGGGGCCGCCUCGAGAAAACUACGAGCGCUUCUUGCCCCCUGACUCCUUCAUCCACAUCGAUGACUUUGCCAGCGCCGGUGAACUGGCUCAGUACCUGCGGGAGCUGAGCAACGACACCGAGAGGUACCAGCGCUACUUCCAGUGGCGCAAGUGGCUGAAACCUGUGCUGAGCAUCAGCUGGACCAUGCAAGUCUGCAGAGCCUGUCACUUCCUGCAGAGGACAGAGGCCAGCUACCACGCUGUGCCCAACCUGUCCAAGUGGUUGGUUGAACAUAUCGACCAUCACAAGCCUAAGAACAAAUCCUUCGCUCUGAAAUCUGAACUUUUAUCCCUCCUCUAUUUCCCAUCCUUCUGAUGGUACCCAUCUAGACGGGGCCUCACCAACGCUGCUUCAUUUCUUGAAGGGCCUUUGCUGGAUCUUAGCAAAGAAAUUCACACAGAGAAACAUGCCACAUCUUCCUUGGCCGUGUGCUUGCUGACUGCUUCAAAGAGCAAAAUAUUUGUGAAGCAACCGUCUUUAUUGCCAAAUAUUUGCCCAUGCUUCUGCUCUUGCCUUGCCUGCCUACAGACACACUUUUCCUUUAGCUCCUGGAUGCACGCCGGUGUUCUUCCCAUCUCUAAGCCCUUCAGGUCCUGAGCAGCUGGAGAAAUGGAAGAUGUUAAUGCUGUUGACUGAGCCGGGAUAGAUGGGAUUAGAGAGAAGGAAUAUUCCGCAGGUGAGCAGUCUCUUUCUGCCAAGGAAGGGCAUGGACAUGGCAAUGCCAGGACAAAAUCCAGCACGAAACUUCCCCUUCUCAGUGACACGGAGGCGCACACAGGCUGAAUUCCUUGUGGGAUGAGAAAGCUGACACCGCAGUUGGGAAACUCUGGAAGGGGCGACUUCAUCGAAGGAAACAUCUGGACGGCUGCGGGGCCUGGCGCUGGCUUUUCCCAUCUGCACCCACUUGGGAAAAUGCCAUACGUCAGUGUGAGGGGCUCCUUCAGUCUCUCACAGAGGUGAUGUGAAAACACCCUGCUCCCCCCAGACCUCCCCUGCUUUCACCCAAAGGUGAUAGGAGCCAGGCUGAAAUGUUCUCAGCUGAUGCUUUGGGGCAGAGAUGGUCUGAAAAGCAAAGGGGAGAGGUUUGCUUCUCCAAAAGGAGAGCGAGAGGUUGAUCCUGAUGGGAAACCGGGGAAAGAAUAAUUUAAAAAGGUCGAGUUUUUGGAGCAGGAUCUGAGCAGACAGCUGCCAUCUAAGGCAGGAGGUGGUCAGCCCUCCUUGGUGCCAGCUGGCGUGGCGCGGGGUUCUGUCCCUCCACUGGGACAUCCCUGUCCCUUCAUGGCCUGGAAAAGUGCAGUGUCCCCUCACUCCAAGUACUUCCAGUAUCCUAGAAAAUAUCCCCAUGGCCCUGCUGAGCUUCCUACCCAUGGAACCUCUGUUCUGUAGGGCUGCCAGGAGUGGGGAGGAAAGGCAGAGCGUGAGAGAAACACAAAUCCCCAUGUAGUGCAGCACUGCAGUUGGGGAUGGGAAGAGAAAUGGCUGAGACAAACCAAAACCCUGAAAACACAGGAGAAGGAGCCUGACAGCCCCUGCCAGCGAGAUGGCAGCUUUUGGAGCACUCACACCCCCACGGCCCGGCGCACACGCGGGCGCAGACGGAGAUUUAUGAGCCUCAAAAGAUGCUUCGUAAAAUAUUUACAGAGCAGAGCUUCGGGGGCGAGUGGUUGAGUCGGCCACGAGAUGUCAGAUCUCUGGGUGGCACGACGGGGGGAAGAUAAACAGACCUUUUUUUCCAUUCUUGAAAAACCACUGUGAAUCUUUUUGGGUUCGGCGGCGUUUUCCCUUCUGCCCACAGAACGAGGCAGACACCUGGGGCCGAUGGGUGGUAAAGAUGGAACGAACAAGUGCUGCUUGGAUGAGUGGUUGAGGGCUGAACUUGGCUGGGAUUCCAAAUUGCAACAUUUCCCCCAAAGCAAAAUAUCAACCACCAUCAUCAUCGUCUUCAUACCAUGGAGCAACAGAAGCGCAGCCAACGCUGCUGCUGACUGCGAGUUGUUUUCCCUGUAAAACUUCUCUAACCUCAGCGCUGCUUCCGGAUGAGCAAAUGAAACACGUUUCUGGCUGACCUUAUCAAAACCUCGCGUUCUCUUUCUCCCCUUCUUUCCUUUAAAAACAUUUUUUUUUUUUUUUUUGGACGUGAUUUUGCCAGAAUUGGUUCAUCCCUACAGGAUGCUUCAGCUUUGAGCCAACCCAAGUGGAAGAGCCUUCACACAGAGGGGAUGAGGACAAUUAUUUCUGUGGCCAAACCAGUACAGACUCAUACGGGCAACAACCCAGCCCUGGUAAUGUUUUAAAUCAGUGAUUUUGCAUCAAUAUAUGUUUGUGAUGAUGGAAUGACACAAACAGGGGCUGCUGGCGGACGUGCAUGGAGGUUUCUGCAGGAAAUGGGAAAACAAAGUCAAGCUCCAUCCGCUCUUAGCCUGCAGAGCGCCGCGUGGACCCUCUCUGCUCUUCCAAGAGAAAACCCACAUUUCCCAUGCUCAUCCCCACUCUGGGGACGUAAUGCCACCCCGCAGUGACUCGCUCAGAGGCAGCACUAAGAUGAAAACCACAGGGAAAUCGACACAACCACAGAGAAAUCAAUAGAGUUCUCCUUUUAUUUUCACUUUAUCGUGAGUAUGUAACAGCAUCACACCCGAGUUUACGUUUGUUUAAAAAAAAUAAUAUCAUACUGCUUUCCCCUCCCCCCCCCCCAACGUUUAGAAUAAAUGGUAAAAAUGUAAUAAAUGUAAACUGCACUUGGCACCAUUUGGAUCAAUAAAUAAAAUCUUAAAAAAAAAGAGAGAGAGAGAGAGAGAAAGAACGCGUUACACAGAU